ACUGGCAACAGAAGCGGCACGGCAAACCCCACCGGGAGCAAGACCGAAUAGGGGCGGUGCGAAGGGAAACCUUCGAGGGCUGUUUCCGGCCCACCGCCCGGGUAGGUUGCGUGAGGCGCAUGGCGACAUGCGCCCAAGAUGAAUGGCCGCCACGUUCCCGCGCCGCAAGGCGUGGGGGCCAUACAGAACCCGGCUUACAGGCCAGCUGGCAUU
rnacentral:RNase_P_RNA from 1 species